rnacentral:rRNA from 1 species
AUGGUCUGCGUUUGGAAAGAUUUUUCGGUUGGGGAUGGGCUCGCGGCCUAUCAGCUUGUUGGUGAGGUAAUGGCUCACCAAGGCGUCGACGGGUAGCCGGCCUGAGAGGGUGACCGGCCACACUGGGACUGAGACACGGCCCAGACUCCUACGGGAGGCAGCAGUGGGGAAUAUUGCACAAUGGGCGAAAGCCUGAUGCAGCAACGCCGCGUGAGGGAUGACGGCCUUCGGGUUGUAAACCUCUUUUAGCAGGGAAGAAGCGAAAGUGACGGUACCUGCAGAAAAAGCGCCGGCUAACUACGUGCCAGCAGCCGCGGUAAUACGUAGGGCGCAAGCGUUAUCCGGAAUUAUUGGGCGUAAAGAGCUCGUAGGCGGUUUGUCGCGUCUGCUGUGAAAUCCCGAGGCUCAACCUCGGGCCUGCAGUGGGUACGGGCAGACUAGAGUGCGGUAGGGGAGAUUGGAAUUCCUGGUGUAGCGGUGGAAUGCGCAGAUAUCAGGAGGAACACCGAUGGCGAAGGCAGAUCUCUGGGCCGUAACUGACGCUGAGGAGCGAAAGGGUGGGGGAGCAAACAGGCUUAGAUACCCUGGUAGUCCACCCCGUAAACGUUGGGAACUAGUUGUGGGGUCCAUUCCACGGAUUCCGUGACGCAGCUAACGCAUUAAGUUCCCCGCCUGGGGAGUACGGCCGCAAGGCUAAAACUCAAAGGAAUUGACGGGGACCCGCACAAGCGGCGGAGCAUGCGGAUUAAUUCGAUGCAACGCGAAGAACCUUACCAAGGCUUGACAUAUACGAGAACGGGCCAGAAAUGGUCAACUCUUUGGACACUCGUAAACAGGUGGUGCAUGGUUGUCGUCAGCUCGUGUCGUGAGAUGUUGGGUUAAGUCCCGCAACGAGCGCAACCCUCGUUCUAUGUUGCCAGCACGUAAUGGUGGGAACUCAUGGGAUACUGCCGGGGUCAACUCGGAGGAAGGUGGGGAUGACGUCAAAUCAUCAUGCCCCUUAUGUCUUGGGCUUCACGCAUGCUACAAUGGCCGGUACAAAGGGCUGCAAUACCGUGAGGUGGAGCGAAUCCCAAAAAGCCGGUCCCAGUUCGGAUUGAGGUCUGCAACUCGACCUCAUGAAGUCGGAGUCGCUAGUAAUCGCAGAUCAGCAACGCUGCGGUGAAUACGUUCCCGGGUCUUGUACACACCGCCCGUCAAGUCAUGAAAGUCGGUAACACCUGAAGCC